UACUGCAUGAGAUGGGUUAUAAUGUGUGACAACCCCGAUUAAUGACUAAGAAGGCACUUUCCAUCCAGCUACGGAACACUGAAGACUGCAAUGGUGAUAACUUCCUAUCGUGAGCCUGUUGUGAACCACCUGGGAUCGAUGAACCUCAAUUUCAGAACCGCUGGUCCAUAGCAAUAUGGACAGCUAGAUUAUCCAUGGUGGGAUCUGGGGUUAUUGGCAUCUUGCUGGAGUUUAGAGAUAAGAAUUGAAUUGUCGGAGUGGGUCAUCUGACACGGGCGAGGUGAAGAUAAGGACAGCAGAUAUCUGGCGAAGAUAUAUUGCUAUAACCGCACAUACCUACCGUACAACCGCCCCCUUUCACUCGUAACCUCACCCUGCCAGCUACACACCCAGCGUAUUUACGUGUCUUGUCGGAAUACUCAACGUCGUGAUAAGAGGAUUAGUUCACCUUGGCAGAAUCUCAGUAUGGAAACCAUAAUUGGAGUCACGAACUGAUGUAAAACCUCUCCAACAACGGCUUGAGAGUUCUACUGUAUCAACAACAUCGACACGCCCUUCUACAACUACACCUGUACAAAUUAAUUUUUAAGCCACUUAUCCUUUAUGUUUCACUUUACUUUCAAACUGGAUUAAUUCUCAUGUUAAACUGUUUUACAUUUAUGCUUAAAGUCAUCCAAUAAAAAUGUUAAUCUUCCAAUGGUAUUAUUACGUUAUCAAUCAUUUGUUUCCAUAAAGAGG